rnacentral:rRNA from 1 species
UUAAGCGACUAAGCGUACACGGUGGAUGCCCUGGCAGUCAGAGGCGAUGAAGGACGUGCUAAUCUGCGAUAAGCGUCGGUAAGGUGAUAUGAACCGUUAUAACCGGCGAUUUCCGAAUGGGGAAACCCAGUGUGAUUCGUCACACUAUCAUUAACUGAAUCCAUAGGUUAAUGAGGCGAACCGGGGGAACUGAAACAUCUAAGUACCCCGAGGAAAAGAAAUCAACCGAGAUUCCCCCAGUAGCGGCGAGCGAACGGGGAGCAGCCCAGAGCCUGAAUCAGUAUGUGUGUUAGUGGAAGCGUCUGGAAAGGCGCGCGAUACAGGGUGACAGCCCCGUACACAAAAAUGCACAUGCUGUGAGCUCGAUGAGUAGGGCGGGACACGUGGUAUCCUGUCUGAAUAUGGGGGGACCAUCCUCCAAGGCUAAAUACUCCUGACUGACCGAUAGUGAACCAGUACCGUGAGGGAAAGGCGAAAAGAACCCCGGCGAGGGGAGUGAAAAAGAACCUGAAACCGUGUACGUACAAGCAGUGGGAGCACGCUUAGGCGUGUGACUGCGUACCUUUUGUAUAAUGGGUCAGCGACUUAUAUUCUGUAGCAAGGUUAACCGAAUAGGGGAGCCGAAGGGAAACCGAGUCUUAACUGGGCGUUAAGUUGCAGGGUAUAGACCCGAAACCCGGUGAUCUAGCCAUGGGCAGGUUGAAGGUUGGGUAACACUAACUGGAGGACCGAACCGACUAAUGUUGAAAAAUUAGCGGAUGACUUGUGGCUGGGGGUGAAAGGCCAAUCAAACCGGGAGAUAGCUGGUUCUCCCCGAAAGCUAUUUAGGUAGCGCCUCGUGAAUUCAUCUCCGGGGGUAGAGCACUGUUUCGGCAAGGGGGUCAUCCCGACUUACCAACCCGAUGCAAACUGCGAAUACCGGAGAAUGUUAUCACGGGAGACACACGGCGGGUGCUAACGUCCGUCGUGAAGAGGGAAACAACCCAGACCGCCAGCUAAGGUCCCAAAGUCAUGGUUAAGUGGGAAACGAUGUGGGAAGGCCCAGACAGCCAGGAUGUUGGCUUAGAAGCAGCCAUCAUUUAAAGAAAGCGUAAUAGCUCACUGGUCGAGUCGGCCUGCGCGGAAGAUGUAACGGGGCUAAACCAUGCACCGAAGCUGCGGCAGCGACGCUUAUGCGUUGUUGGGUAGGGGAGCGUUCUGUAAGCCUGUGAAGGUGUGCUGUGAGGCAUGCUGGAGGUAUCAGAAGUGCGAAUGCUGACAUAAGUAACGAUAAAGCGGGUGAAAAGCCCGCUCGCCGGAAGACCAAGGGUUCCUGUCCAACGUUAAUCGGGGCAGGGUGAGUCGACCCCUAAGGCGAGGCCGAAAGGCGUAGUCGAUGGGAAACAGGUUAAUAUUCCUGUACUUGGUGUUACUGCGAAGGGGGACGGAGAAGGCUAUGUUGGCCGGGCGACGGUUGUCCCGGUUUAAGCGUGUAGGCUGGUUUUCCAGGCAAAUCCGGAAAAUCAAGGCUGAGGCGUGAUGACGAGGCACUACGGUGCUGAAGCAACAAAUGCCCUGCUUCCAGGAAAAGCCUCUAAGCAUCAGGUAACAUCAAAUCGUACCCCAAACCGACACAGGUGGUCAGGUAGAGAAUACCAAGGCGCUUGAGAGAACUCGGGUGAAGGAACUAGGCAAAAUGGUGCCGUAACUUCGGGAGAAGGCACGCUGAUAUGUAGGUGAAGUCCCUCGCGGAUGGAGCUGAAAUCAGUCGAAGAUACCAGCUGGCUGCAACUGUUUAUUAAAAACACAGCACUGUGCAAACACGAAAGUGGACGUAUACGGUGUGACGCCUGCCCGGUGCCGGAAGGUUAAUUGAUGGGGUCAGCGCAAGCGAAGCUCUUGAUCGAAGCCCCGGUAAACGGCGGCCGUAACUAUAACGGUCCUAAGGUAGCGAAAUUCCUUGUCGGGUAAGUUCCGACCUGCACGAAUGGCGUAAUGAUGGCCAGGCUGUCUCCACCCGAGACUCAGUGAAAUUGAACUCGCUGUGAAGAUGCAGUGUACCCGCGGCAAGACGGAAAGACCCCGUGAACCUUUACUAUAGCUUGACACUGAACAUUGAGCCUUGAUGUGUAGGAUAGGUGGGAGGCUUUGAAGUGUGGACGCCAGUCUGCAUGGAGCCGACCUUGAAAUACCACCCUUUAAUGUUUGAUGUUCUAACGUUGACCCGUAAUCCGGGUUGCGGACAGUGUCUGGUGGGUAGUUUGACUGGGGCGGUCUCCUCCUAAAGAGUAACGGAGGAGCACGAAGGUUGGCUAAUCCUGGUCGGACAUCAGGAGGUUAGUGCAAUGGCAUAAGCCAGCUUGACUGCGAGCGUGACGGCGCGAGCAGGUGCGAAAGCAGGUCAUAGUGAUCCGGUGGUUCUGAAUGGAAGGGCCAUCGCUCAACGGAUAAAAGGUACUCCGGGGAUAACAGGCUGAUACCGCCCAAGAGUUCAUAUCGACGGCGGUGUUUGGCACCUCGAUGUCGGCUCAUCACAUCCUGGGGCUGAAGUAGGUCCCAAGGGUAUGGCUGUUCGCCAUUUAAAGUGGUACGCGAGCUGGGUUUAGAACGUCGUGAGACAGUUCGGUCCCUAUCUGCCGUGGGCGCUGGAGAACUGAGGGGGGCUGCUCCUAGUACGAGAGGACCGGAGUGGACGCAUCACUGGUGUUCGGGUUGUCAUGCCAAUGGCACUGCCCGGUAGCUAAAUGCGGAAGAGAUAAGUGCUGAAAGCAUCUAAGCACGAAACUUGCCCCGAGAUGAGUUCUCCCUGACUCCUUGAGAGUCCUGAAGGAACGUUGAAGACGACGACGUUGAUAGGCCGGGUGUGUAAGCGCAGCGAUGCGUUGAGCUAACCGGUACUAAUGAACCGUGAGGCUUAACCUU